AUUGAACGCUGGCGGCAGGCCUAACACAUGCAAGUCGAGCGGCGCGGCGGACGGGGAAGUAAUGCCUAGGAAUCGGCAUGUGCGUGGUGGAUAACGUCCAGAAACGGGCGCUAUUGCUACAUACUCUCAGAUGCGGCUAGGUCGGAUUAGCUAGUUGGUGGGGUAAAGGUCUACCAAGGCGACGAUCCGUAACUGGUCUGAGAGGAUGAUCAGCCAAACUGGAACUGAGACACGGCCCAGACUCCGACGGGAGGCAGCAGUGGGGAAUAUUGGACAAUGGGCGAAAGCCUGAUGCAGCCAUGCCGCGUGUGUGAAGAAGGUCUUCGGAUUGUAAAGCACUUUAAGUGGGGAGGCGUUACCAACAGAAGAAGCACCGGCUAACUCCGUGCCAGCCGCCGCGGUAAUUC
rnacentral:rRNA from 1 species